UCAAACAAACAAUACUAAGUGAAUUUAAACUUCACCCCAUUGCACAAGUUCAAGACUCAUUGGCCG
rnacentral:tRNA from 1 species